AGUCAACCUCGCUUAAUCGGACCAGUUUGGCUUGGUCCCGAUGUGGUCCGGUUAAGCGGG
rnacentral:miRNA from 1 species